rnacentral:rRNA from 1 species
CGGCGGACGGGUGAGUAACGCGUGGGAAUGUGCCCUUCUCUACGGAAUAGUCCCGGGAAACUGGGUUUAAUACCGUAUACGCCCUUCGGGGGAAAGAUUUAUCGGAGAAGGAUCAGCCCGCGUCUGAUUAGGUAGUUGGUGGGGUAAUGGCCUACCAAGCCUACGAUCAGUAGCUGGUUUUAGAGGAUGAUCAGCCACACUGGGACUGAGACACGGCCCAGACUCCUACGGGAGGCAGCAGUGGGGAAUCUUAGACAAUGGGCGCAAGCCUGAUCUAGCCAUGCCGCGUGAGUGAUGAAGGCCUUAGGGUCGUAAAACUCUUUCGCCAGGGAUGAUAAUGACAGUACCUGGUAAAGAAGCCCCGGCUAACUCCGUGCCAGCAGCCGCGGUAAUACGGAGGGGGCUAGCGUUGUUCGGAAUUACUGGGCGUAAAGCGCGCGUAGGCGGACUAUUAAGUCAGGGGUGAAAUCCCGGGGCUCAACCCCGGAACUGCCCUUGAUACUGGUAGUCUUGAGUUCGAGAGAGGUGAGUGGAAUUCCGAGUGUAGAGGUGAAAUUCGUAGAUAUUCGGAGGAACACCAGUGGCGAAGGCGGCUCACU